rnacentral:piRNA from 1 species
UGCAUGCAAUAUAGCCUAUGUUGAAUUGG